rnacentral:rRNA from 1 species
UACGUAGGUGGCAAGCGUUGUCCGGAUUUACUGGGCGUAAAGAGCGUGUAGGCGGCCAGGUAGGUCUGCUGUGAAAACUCGAGGCUUAACCUCGAGCUGUCGGCGGAAACCACUUGGCUAGAGUCCGGAAGAGGAGAGUGGAAUUCCUGGUGUAGCGGUGAAAUGCGCAGAUAUCAGGAAGAACACCUAUGGCGAAGGCAGCUCUCUGGGACGGUACCGACGCUGAGACGCGAAAGCGUGGGGAGCAAACAGG